CCUACGGGAGGCAGCAGUGGGGAAUAUUGGGCAAUGGGCGCAAGCCUGACCCAGCAACGCCGCGUGAAGGAAGAAGGCUUUCGGGUUGUAAACUUCUUUUUAGAGGGAAGAGCAGAAGACGGUACCUCUUGAAUAAGCCACGGCUAACUACGUGCCAGCAGCCGCGGUAAUACGUGGGUGGCAGGCGUUGUCCGGAUUUACUGGGUGUAAAGGGCGUGCAGCCGGGAAGACAAGUCAGAUGUGAAAGCCCGCGGCUCAACCGUGGAAUUGCAUUUGAAACUGUUUUUCUUGAGUACCGGAGAGGUCAUCGGAAUUCGUGGUGUAGCGGUGAAAUGCGUAGAUAUAAGGAAGAACACCAGUGGCGAAGGCGGAUGACUGGACGGCAACUGACGGUGAGGCGCGAAAGUGUGGGGAGCAAACAGGAUUAGAUACCCUAGUAGUC
rnacentral:rRNA from 1 species